rnacentral:rRNA from 1 species
UACGUAGGCAGCAAGCGUUGUUCGGAAUUACUGGGCGUAAAGAGUGUGUAGGCGGUGCUCUAAGUCUGUUGUGAAAUCUCCCGGCUUAACCGGGAGGGUGCGGCGGAAACUGGAGUGCUUGAGGGUGGGAGGAGGUAGCGGAAUUCCUGGUGUAGCGGUGAAAUGCGUAGAUAUCAGGAGGAACACCUGUGGUGUAGACAGCUUACUGGACCACUUCUGACGCUGAGACACGAAAGCGUGGGUAGCAAACAGG